rnacentral:rRNA from 1 species
UUAUGGCUCAGGAUGAACGCUGGCGGCGUGCCUAACACAUGCGAGUCGAACGAAGCAUACGGACCGGAGAUUCGUCGAAGGACUGUAUGACUUAGUGGCGGACGGGUGGGUAAUGUAUGAGCAACCUGCCUUUCAGAGGGGGACAACAGUUGGAAACGACUGCUAAUACCGCGUAAUGUAUCGUGGGGGCAUCCUCGUGAUACCAAAGGAGCAAUCCGCUGAAAGAUGGGCUCAUAUCUGAUUAGCUUGUUGGCGGGGUAACGGCCCACCAAGGCGACGAUCAGUAGCCGGACUGAGAGGUUGAACGGCCACAUUGGGACUGAGAUACGGCCCAGACUCCUACGGGAGGCAGCAGUGGGGAAUAUUGGGCAAUGGGCGAAAGCCUGACCCAAGCAACGCCGCGUGAAGGAAGAAGGUCUUCGGAUUGUAGACUUCUUUUAUGAGGGACGAAGGACGUGACGGUACCUCAUGAAUAAGCCACGGCUAACUACGUGCCAGCCGCUGC